UUUUUAUGUGCAGACUUGUGCACAUGCUUAUAAAGAUAAUGUGUUGAAAAGAGUCUAUUAUCUCUAGUUUCUGACUGUAUUCAGACACUCUGGCCUUUUGUUUGGCACUUGAAGUAAAGUAAGAUAUAACAGGAAGUCAACAUGAACUGCUGUCUGCCAUGUUGUGGUGUGGUGAAGGGCACGUGUGUUUUUUGUGCAGGGGUGUUUGUGCAGAGUCUUUUUUUUCCUAUCUCGCUUUUUGUAGAUUCUUGGAAGUCAUUUUAGUACAAGACUCAGAAUCACGCCUGUUUGUUUAAGUAUCUGAAAGUCACACUUGAGUAAAAACACACCAGAAAAAGACUUUAGAAGGUACUGUACAAGAUGUGCAAGCUACCCAUGCCAUAGGCAUUAAUGCAUCCCCAUACCACCAUGUUGGAUGGCCCCUCUCCUCUUCACCUCCAAGGAUGCAGGGUCCUUGACGUCCAAAAAGAAUGAGACAUUUUGAUUGGUCUACCCAUGGAACUAGAACAGUUUUCCACUUCGCCUGGGUUCAUCUUAAUUCGCCUUAUUCACCCGGCGGCCAUUACGAGGCUGAGGGGUACACUUGCCAUUACACCUCAGUCCAGCAGA